GUUGGUGGCAAUAGCGAGGGGGAAACACCUUUUCCCAUUCCGAACAGAGCAGUUAAGCCCCUCAGCGCUGAUGGUACUAUCGAAAGGUGGGAGAGUAAGUCGCUGCCAACU
rnacentral:rRNA from 1 species